CCUAGCAAUCUGUUUGAAAUAGUGUAUUAAUACUUUAGACAUAAAUAUAGAUUAUUUUGCUAGUAGCCAUUGAUUUAUAUUUUUUUAGGUAUUGUGUUUCCCUACCCAAAUUAACAUUCUGUCCUCAGUAUGUGUAGGAACCCUGUGGAUGCAGAUUUGGGGAUCCUCUAUCUCUGCUCCUUGUCCAUACAGUUUCACAUUGUGCAGGUUUGAGCCAACUCAGGCUCUGCAGGUCCAAGGAAGAGCAAAGAGAGUGGAUGAUUCUUGCCUGGAAGCUCUGGGUCCACUCUACCCUCAGCUCCUUUUUCCUCCAAAGAGAGCUGGAAACUACUCAAGCUGCACAGGGCUGGCAACUAGGGAACUGGUACAAACUGAGACAAGCACUUUUCCUCUGAGGUCCCACGGCAUCGCUGACCGUUGUGUCAAUUGUGUCCCUUGGUAACCACAGGCAGUUGGUUCCAGGAACCCCAUCACAGGACACCCAAAGUCCCAGAUGCUGAAAUUCCUUACAUGAAACAGGAAUCCUCUUGAUCCAGAAUGGCUACUUCUGUUUUUGCCAUCACAAUCAUACUCCAGUCAAGAAGAUGGGAAGAAGGAAGGAAGAACAAAAGGCACAUUUUCCACG